rnacentral:misc_RNA from 1 species
GUGAAUCAUCGAAUUUUUGAACGCACAUUGCACUCUCUUCUGAGAGUAUGCCUGUGUGAGGGUCAGACUAAAAAAAUCGACAUCGUUGCUGUUUCCCAGUGGCGUUCGUCGGAAAUUGGGUUAUCUUCCAUCUUUGGUUUAAGCGACUUAAAAUUUUCUUUACGAUUCAAUGAUCGUUUCUAAGCUUUAUUUCUUUACACGUUUAAGGUAUCGUUUUUUUUUCGGCGUGGCCGUCAUAUUGGAUCGUGUCCAUAAUUUUUCGAUAACUGACCUCAGACAGGUAAGAGUCCCC